AUGGCAUCCAAAUUUAAACAAGUCAUACUGGAUCUCACUGUGGAGAAAGACAAAAAAGACAAAAAAGGUGGGAAGGCCUCCAAACAAAGUGAAGAAGAAUCCCACCAUCUGGAAGAGGUUGAAAACAAGAAGCCUGGGGGAAAUGUCCGAAGGAAAGUCAGGCGACUUGUGCCUAACUUUCUCUGGGCCAUACCUAAUAGGCAUGUUGAUCGCAAUGAAGGGGGAGAGGAUGUUGGGAGAUUUGUAGUGCAGGGAACAGAAGUCAAGAGAAAGACUACGGAGCAGCAGGUGAGGCCUUACAGGCAUUUCCGAACCCCGGAACCUGACAAUCAUUACGACUUUUGCCUCAGACCUUGA
rnacentral:lncRNA from 1 species